AUUGAACGCUGGCGGCAUGCCUUACACAUGCAAGUCGAACGGCAGCGCGGGAGCAAUCCUGGCGGCGAGUGGCGAACGGGUGAGUAAUAUAUCGGAACGUGCCCAGUAGUGGGGGAUAGCCCGGCGAAAGCCGGAUUAAUACCGCAUGAGACCUGAGGGUGAAAGCGGGGGAUCGCAAGACCUCGCGCUAUUGGAGCGGCCGAUAUCAGAUUAGCUAGUUGGUGGGGUAAAGGCCUACCAAGGCAACGAUCUGUAGUUGGUCUGAGAGGACGACCAGCCACACUGGGACUGAGACACGGCCCAGACUCCUACGGGAGGCAGCAGUGGGGAAUUUUGGACAAUGGGCGCAAGCCUGAUCCAGCAACGCCGCGUGCAGGAAGAAGGCCU
rnacentral:rRNA from 1 species